ensembl:antisense Gm37335 predicted gene, 37335
UGACCUUUUCAGGGUUUAUUCAUCUGCUAACGUUCAGUCUCCAUCUAGACAACGACAAUUAGAAGACAACCAGUUGCUUUUCCAUCAUCAAUUCCAUAUGAAUAACCAAAGGAUUCCUCCUCAACGCUUUUUUUUUUAUUUUUUAAUAAGAAGCUAUAAAUAAAUAAAGCUUUAAAGCUCCCGGGUUCAAGUGGAACAGUUCCAGUUCAGACGCGUUGGCUGGACAGUUCUGUGGUCCCUGCCUCCCACUCUCGGAGCGGGGUGGGUGUCUGCAGGGCUGCAGGGUGCCUUGGGACUGAGUUAUUAGUUUGUUGUGUUUGCAUGGCCUUUCAGCCCCAAGGCACACUCCUGUAGGCAGAGUCCUUGGAGCUGGAGGGAGAGGGGAGCACCCUCAUCUGGAAUAUUGCUGUGCUACAUAUGGCCCCACUUUUGUCUGUGGUGACCUGCUCC